GGAGGGAUCGCAUAGUCUGGCCUAGUGCGCGGCACUGGAAAUGCCGUUGGGGGUUUACGCCCCCUCGAGGGUUCAAAUCCCUCUCCCUCCGCCA
rnacentral:tRNA from 1 species